CUUCACACAUGGAGCUGGGGUCCCAAAAGGUGCCCAGUGUUUCCCCCUGGACUCCGUCCCUCUCCUGAGGUCUUCCCAGUCACUGCCGCCUUGGGAGGGCCCCAUUUCCUCCGGCCCUGCCUGCCCUCCUCAUGGGUUUGGCUUGUUUUGAGACAGGAUCUUGCUACAUUACGUAGUUCAUGCUGGCCUCAAACUUGUGAUUCUCCUGCCUCGGCCUCCCGAGUGCUGGGAUUACAGGUGUGUGCUACUGUGCCCAGUGCUUUCUCUGGGCUCCAGGGAUGUUCAUACGUCUUCCUUUGCCAGGAGCAUGAGUGGGAAGGGAAACAGCACCCCUUGCAGAAGCCCGGGUGUGGGAGGGGUCCCCCCAGCAGCCUGCCCAGCUCUGGCCCUGGGCCAGCAUCGCUACCUCCUCGGGGUGGUUCUGGCCCAGGUCCAGCUGGUGCCGUGUCACCCUGCCCACCCCCACAGGCCACGAACGGCCCAGGAGGAGAAAUGCAGUUGGGCCAGCCAGGCCUGCAGGUCACUUCAGCCGCCAUCUGUUCCAGUCCCAGCCCUGCCACUUGCUAGCAUGUGGCCUUAGCAAGCUCCUCCUCUGAGCCUGAGCCUCCCGCUGUGUCAGGAGACCACCUGCUUGGGAUCUGGUGGGCCUCCACAUGGCACCCAGCAGAGGCCACCAGCCCACGUGGAACGCUUGGUAGGAGGCGCCCACCCGACUGCAUCAGAGCCAGCAAGGCAGGGAGCCAGAAACUGGCCAAGAGAGGAAGCCACCAGAUGGGGCUGGAAGGGAGCUCUGACAGCCUCUCCUCACCUGGGUCUGCUCAUCAGCAUCGGCCAGCCUGGUGGGGACGGUGGCGCCCAAACGGACAUGCAGCAAGCAGGCCUCAUCUUCCUGCUUGGGGUAGUCCCACUCCAUCUCCUCCAGACAGGUUCCUGUGGGCAGAGCAGGGUCAGCCCUGUGAUGUUCACUCUUCCUUAGGAUGAAGGCAAACCAUUCCCGGUCCUGUUGCCCUAUCAUCUUUGGCUUUUCCUUGACCCUAGGCUGCCAAAGGUAGAAGAUUUAAAACCCUGAACUGGGCCAGGGAUUUAGCUCAGUGGUACCGUGCCUGCCUCAAAAGCACAAGGUCCUGAGUUCGAUCCCUGGUACCAAAUAAAUAAAUAAAUAAAAAUAAAACCCUGAACCAAUACCCUCUUCUCCCAAAUUGAC
ensembl:lncRNA